rnacentral:rRNA from 1 species
CAGGGAUUGCCCCAGUAACGGCGAGUGAAGCGGCAACAGCUCAAAUUUGAAAUCUGGCUCCUAGAGCCCGAGUUGUAAUUUGUAGAGGAUGCUUUUGAUGCGGUGCCUUCCGAGUUCCCUGGAACGGGACGCCAUAGAGGGUGAGAGCCCCGUCUGGUCGGAUGCCAAAUCUCUGUAAAGCUCCUUCGACGAGUCGAGUAGUUUGGGAAUGCUGCUCAAAAUGGGAGGUAUAUGUCUUCUAAAGCUAAAUAUUGGCCAGAGACCGAUAGCGCACAAGUAGAGUGAUCGAAAGAUGAAAAGCACUUUGAAAAGAGGGUUAAAUAGUACGUGAAAUUGUUGAAAGGGAAGCGCCUAUGACCAGACUUGGGCCCGGUGAAUCAUCCAGCGUUCUCGCUGGUGCACUUUGCCGGGCACAGGCCAGCAUCAGUUUGUCUUGGGGGAAAAAGGUUUCGGGAACGUGGCUCCCUCGGGAGUGUUAUAGCCCGUUGCAUAAUACCCUGAGACGGACUGAGGUUCGCGCAUCUGCAAGGAUGCUGGCGUAAUGGUCAUCAGCGACCCGUCUUGAAACACGGACCAAGGAGUCGUCUUCGUAUGCGAGUGUUCGGGUGUAAAACCCCUACGCGUAAUGAAAGUGAACGCAGGUGAGAGCUUCGGCGCAUCAUCGACCGAUCCUGAUGUUCUCGGAUGGAUUUGAGUAAGAGCAUACGGGGCCGGACCCGAAAGAAGGUGAACUAUUCCUGUAUAGGGUGAAGCCAGAGGAAACUCUGGUGGAGGCUCGCAGCGGUUCUGACGUGCGAAUCGAUCGUCAAAUAUGGGAAUGGGGGCGAAMGACUAAU